ACCAGGAAGACGCCUACAGAGCCGGCUGCUGUUGCAGCGGCGGCUGAGGCGGCAGGUUCUGCUGUAUACAAGCCCUCCUGUCUCCCAGCCCCGGCCUGGUCGCUAGGUGGGAAGGAGGGACGUGGUCCGGCCAGGGCUGUGUAGAUGCUCCGUGGCUCCUAAGUCCAAGCAAAUAUUCAGGUUGCGGCCUGUAGGAGCCAGUCAGGGAGGCGCCCACACUCCUGACAGGGGUAAGAUGGCGGCGAUGGCGCCGGGAGGUGGAGGUAGCGGUGGCGGUGGUGUGAAUCCAUUCCUCAGCGAUUCCGAUGAGGACGACGACGAGGUAGCGGCGACCGAGGAGCGGAGGACAGGACUUCGACUGGGUGCGGGUGUCGGCCUAGAUCCUGGCUCUGCGGGCUCGCUGUCGCCACAGGACCCCUUGGCCCUGGGGAGCGGCGCGCGGCCAGGCCUCCCUGGGGACACGGUCGCCGUUCCACUGACCCUGGGGGGCAGCGGAGAGACCCCGGCCCGAUUGUCAAUCGAUGCCAUCGCCGCCCAGCUGUUGCGCGAUCAAUUCUUGCUGACUGCCCUGGAGCUGCACACAGAGCUACUGGAGAGCGGCCGCGAGCUGCCACGGCUGCGCGACUACUUCUCCAAUCCCGGCAACUUUGAGAGGCAGAGUGGAACCCCGCCGGGGUUGGGGGCCCCCGGCAUCCCUGGAGCAUCCGGCGUUGGAGGCGCUGCGGGUCGCGAACCGAGUACGACUUCGGGCGGAGGACAGCUCAAUCGAGCUGGAAGCAUUAGUACUCUUGAUUCUUUAGACUUUGCAAGAUAUUCAGAUGAUGGUAACAGGGAAACAGAUGAGAGAGUGGCAGUCCUGGAGUUUGAACUACGGAAAGCCAAGGAGACCAUUCAGGCCCUCCGAGCCAACCUGACAAAGGCUGCAGAGCAUGAAGUUCCUUUACAGGAACGAAAAAAUUACAAAUCAAGUCCUGAAAUUCAGGAGCCAAUAAAACCUCUUGAAAAGAGAGCUCUAAACUUCUUAGUCAAUGAAUUUUUAUUGAAGAAUAACUACAAGCUUACAUCAAUAACCUUUUCAGAUGAAAAUGAUGAUCAGGAUUUUGAAUUAUGGGAUGAUGUAGGAUUAAACAUUCCAAAACCCCCAGACUUACUACAGCUUUACCGAGACUUUGGAAAUCAUCAGGUAACUGGGAAAGAUCUUGUGGAUGUGGCCAGUGGAGUAGAUGAAGAGGAGUUAGAGGCUCUCACACCAAUUUUAGGCAACUUUCCUCCAGCCCUCGACACUCCUCAGCCUAUAGAGAAUUCCUUGCUAGUGCAGAAAUUAGAAGAUAAAAUUAGUUUAUUAAAUAAUGAAAAAUGGUCAUUGAUGGAGCAGAUCAGAAGACUUGAAAGUGAGAUGGACAUUCUCAAAAAUGAACACCUUGCCAUCCCAGCAGUUUGUGAUUCUGUUCAGCCUUCCUUGGUUCAGUCUUCCCAAAAAGACUCUGAAGAUAGCAGACAGAGUAUAAUUGUAAAUAGUUCAGACCAGAAAAAAAACAAGGAUAUUCAUCUUGAAAUGACAGAUGAAGUUGAUUCCCCUGUUCCUAAAGAGAAUUCCUCAGGUUCUUUGCCCAAGAAGAAAAGAGAAGACUUGCCAUCAAGUAAAACCACAAUCCAUUUUGAUAAACCCAAUAGGAAAUUGUCACCUGCUUUCCACCAAGCACUCCUCUCUUUUUGUCGAAUGUCAGCAGAUAGCCGUUUAGGAUCAGAGGUGUCUCGGAUUGCAGACAGUGAAAAAAGUGUUAUGUUAAUGCUGGGACGCUGCCUGCCACACAUUGUUCCUAACGUACUGUUGGCAAAGAGAGAGGAAUUGAUCCCCCUCAUAUUGUGUACAGCAUGCCUACAUCCCGAGCCUAAAGAGAGAGAUCAGCUUCUCCACAUACUUUUCAAUUUGAUCAAGAGGCCAGAUGAUGAGCAAAGGCAAAUGAUAUUGACGGGUUGUGUGGCAUUUGCACGUCACGUUGGACCAACACGUGUAGAAGCUGAACUUUUACCACAGUGUUGGGAACAGAUUAAUCACAAAUACCCAGAAAGACGACUACUUGUGGCAGAAUCCUGUGGCGCUCUGGCACCCUACCUUCCUAAAGAAAUCCGGAGUUCCUUGGUUCUUUCAAUGUUGCAACAGAUGUUAAUGGAAGAUAAAGCAGAUUUGGUAAGAGAAGCUGUGAUCAAAAGCCUGGGUAUCAUUAUGGGAUACAUUGAUGAUCCUGACAAAUAUCAACAGGGUUUUGAAUUACUGCUUUCCGCCUUGGGCGAUCCCUCAGAAAGAGUUGUUAGUGCAACACAUCAAGUAUUUUUACCAGCUUAUGCUGCCUGGACAACAGAACUUGGGAAUUUACAGUCUCAUCUUAUACCUACACUCCUGAACAAGAUUGAAAAGCUUCUCAGAGAAGGAGAACACGGGCUGGAUGAACAUAAGCUCCACAUGUAUCUUUCUGCUUUACAGUCCUUGAUCCCAUCUCUCUUUGCAUUAGUACUGCAGAAUGCACCUUUCUCCAGCAAAGCCAAGCUGCAUGGUGAAGUCCCACAGAUAGAAGUGACACGAUUCCCUCGACCUAUCUCACCUCUACAAGAUGUGUCUACUAUUAUUGGCAGUCGUGAGCAAUUGGCAGUGCUGCUACAACUUUAUGAUUACCAGCUAGAGCACGAGGGUACAACAGGCUGGGAGAGUUUGCUAUGGGUUGUCAAUCAAUUGUUGCCACAACUUAUAGAAAUAGUUGGCAAAAUUAAUGUAACUUCAACUGCCUGUGUCCAUGAAUUCUCCAGAUUUUUCUGGCGUCUUUGCCGGACGUUUGGCAAAAUUUUUACAAACACUAAGGUAAAACCUCAAUUCCAAGAGAUUUUAAGACUGUCUGAAGAAAACAUUGAUUCCUCAGCAGGAAAUGGGGUCCUCACUAAAGCUACCGUCCCCAUUUAUGCAACAGGAGUCCUUACGUGUUACAUUCAGGAAGAAGACCGAAAACUGUUAGUUGGGUUCUUAGAAGAUGUAAUGACUCUUCUUUCAUUAUCUCAUGCUCCUCUGGAUAGCCUGAAGGCUUCUUUUGUGGAACUUGGUGCAAAUCCAGCCUAUCAUGAGCUAUUGCUUACUGUUUUGUGGUAUGGCGUUGUCCACACUUCAGCGCUUGUCAGAUGUACUGCUGCUAGAAUGUUUGAGCUGUUGGUGAAGGGGGUGAAUGAAACUCUGGUAGCUCAGAGGGUUGUUCCUGCUCUCAUUACUCUCUCCAGUGACCCUGAAAUCUGACUCUUCGAGGCAUGAGUGAAGCAUUAGUUGACAAGCGGGUUGCUCCGGCCCUUGUUACCUUGUCCAGUGAUCCUGAAUUCUCUGUCAGGAUUGCCACAAUUCCAGCUUUUGGCACCAUUAUGGAAACAGUUAUUCAAAGAGAGUUGCUAGAAAGAGUGAAAAUGCAGUUGGCAUCUUUCCUGGAAGACCCUCAGUAUCAAGACCAGCAUUCUUUGCAUACAGAAGUCAUAAAAACAUUUGGCAGAGUUGGGCCUAAUGCAGAACCCAGGUUCCGAGAUGAGUUUGUUAUACCACAUUUACAUAAGUUAGCCUUGGUGAACAAUUUACAAAUUGUGGAUUCGAAAAGACUGGAUAUUGCUACCCAUCUUUUUGAAGCCUACAGUGCGCUCUCCUGUUGUUUCAUUUCAGAGGAUUUAAUGGUAAAUCACUUUUUACCUGGCCUCAGGUGUUUACGAACUGACAUGGAACAUCUCUCUCCAGAGCAUGAGGUCAUUUUAAGUUCCAUGAUAAAAGAAUGUGAACAAAAAGUAGAAAACAAGACUGUCCAAGAACCUCAAGGCUCAAUGUCGAUUGCUGCAAGUUUAGUAAGUGAAGACACAAAGACCAAGUUUUUGAACAAAAUGGGCCAAUUGACAACAUCAGGUGCCAUGUUGGCUAAUGUGUUUCAGAGAAAGAAAUAGAAGCAGGAAGGAAGCCCCCAGUAAACACUAAGGUGGACCUCAACAGACUGGUUCCUUGUACUUGAAGUGCUCACCUUUUUUUAUUUCCUCAGUUUUAUGUUCUUGUGUUACAAAUUUUAUCCUAACCUCCAAAGAUAUUUGCACUGCUUUUGAUUAUUGCUGUAUAUCUGUUGAUUUGGGAAUUACAACUGUGGUAAUAGAAACUUGAUUUAAAGAUCUGUACCAAGUCCCUAUUCUAUGUUCUUUGAGAAUAAUUUUUAUAUAUAUGUGUAUAGUGAAGAGAUUUUUUUUGUUUUUUGGUUUUUGGGUUUUUUUUAAUUUUUGGAUGGGAUAUUAGCAGAUAUCUGUAUUAUACGCUAAGCUAUUACAAUGGUACUUAAAAUAAUGUAAAUUUGAAGUCAUUGUUAUAAAGUAAUAAAAGUGGAGAUUACUUAAGUAUUUAAAUUAUGAAAAGAAUAAUACAGACUUUUUAUUGUUUCCUAACUGACUAGAAAGAGCCACCAGCAUUACUCUGUGCCUUUUGGACUUCAGUUUGUAUUCUGUAGGAAUUAUGUCAUUCAGUUCACACAGUAUUUUAGGCUGCUGGGAUGAAUUUGAAUUACAGUUCCUACAGUAAAUAGAUAAUGAUGAAACUUCAAUAUUUCAGAGCUCUCAUGACUAUUCUUUAAGUGCUAUUUAAACCUCCCCAACACUUACCUGCAUAUGAUGAUCUUACCUGAAGAAAGACAGCACUUAAGCUUGGAGAGUAGUAGCCAGGGUGAAUUUACAUUUAUAGUAGAUGUAAAUGCUCAAAAAUGUAACUGAGAAGAGCUAGUAAUUAUGUUUAUUCCCAAAUUGAAAUAUAGACAGUAAUCUACUUUGAAUCUCAAAUUUAACACCUACUUAUGCAAAAUGACUUAAGAUACUUUCUGAUGAUUUAAAUUCCGCAGGUUACCUUUUCAUUCUGCCUGUUUUAGAGAAGUACUGAAAAGUUAAGGACAUUUGGGGCUCCUUUUUUCUCUCUAAACUGAAAGGUGACAUUGGUUCAAUUAUUAUUAGUUAGUUGUCACUUUGUCCCUUAAAGUCAGUGACUAUUCUUGUGUUUGCUAUAUCUUAUAGAAUCUUACGUUAAUGUACAGUUCACUGGAAUUUGACAGGUGUUUCUACAGUAAUGUAGUGGAAUAGAAAGAGUGCUGGACAUAGGAAGAGGGUGACUGGUUUGAGGGGUUCAUGUGAGGCCUUUUUGAAAAAUGAAUUAUUUUGAUAAAAAGAACUCUUCAUUUGAGCACAGUUGAUGCGUACAGAUGAUUCUCAUAUUUGUUGUGUAAACUGGCUUAGUACACUUGAUUACAUUCACUUUUUGGGAAAGCCAGCUUUCCCAUACAUUCAAAUCUUAUAAAAUAAUUUGUCUUAGGCAAAGGCAUUUAAAAACUCAUUCUGAAAUUCUUUCUUUUACCUAUAGUGAAAUUAUUGUUGACUAGUCUUUCUGAACUGUUGUAUUCUAGGCAUUCCUGAGAAGUUGAAAGUGGCUACCUUUCAUGUCAGAAAUGUUGAUCUGUUAUAAAUAAAAUGUUUUUGCAUACUG